rnacentral:rRNA from 1 species
UACGAAGGGGGCUAGCGUUGUUCGGAGUUACUGGGCGUAAAGCGCGCGCAGGCGGCGGUGCUGGCCCGGCGUGAAAGCCCCCCGGCUCAACCGGGGAGAGUCGUCGGGGACCGCACCGCUUGAGGGCGGUAGGGGCUGGUGGAAUGCCUGGUGUAGUGGUGAAAUGCGUAGAGAUGUGGAGGAACACCAAUGGCGAAGGCAGCCUUCUGGGCCAACACUGACGCUCAUGCACGAAAGCGUGGGGAGCAAACAGG